rnacentral:tRNA from 1 species
GCAGAAGUGCUGGAAUUGGCAGACAGGCUGGUCUCAGAAGCCAGUGCUUAACCGCGUGUGGGUUCAAGUCCCAUCUUCUGCACCA